ACGUCAAUUACAUUAUAAGAGUUGGUUGUGCCCAAAGUCAUUAUUUUAACCGCAUGAAGGAAAAUGUUGAAGGUGAGGCUAAUUGUUGAAGUGAAGUUGUAACAAGGUAACCAUACUGCAAGAUAUGGUAA
rnacentral:ncRNA from 1 species